rnacentral:rRNA from 1 species
GACGGAGGGUGCGAGCGUUAUUCGGAUUUAUUGGGCGUAAAGAGCGUGUAGGCGGCCGGCCAAGCCAGAGGUGAAAGCCCAGGGCUCAACCCUGGAAGUGCCUUUGGAACUGGUUGGCUUGAGUUCGGGAGAGGGAAGUGGAAUUCCGGGUGUAGAGGUGAAAUUCGUAGAUAUCCGGAGGAACACCGGUGGCGAAGGCGACUUCCUGGACCGAAACUGACGCUGAGACGCGAAAGCGUGGGGAGCAAAC